rnacentral:rRNA from 1 species
CAGUCGCCGCGGGAAUACAGAGGGUGAGAGCGUUAAUCGGAUUUACUGGGCGUAAAGCGUGCGUAGGCGGCUUUUUAAGUCGGAUGUGAAAUCCCUGAGCUUAACUUAGGAAUUGCAUUCGAUACUGGGAAGCUAGAGUAUGGGAGAGGAUGGUAGAAUUCCAGGUGUAGCGGUGAAAUGCGUAGAGAUCUGGAGGAAUACCGAUGGCGAAGGCAGCCAUCUGGCCUAAUACUGACGCUGAGGUACGAAAGCAUGGGGAGCAAACAGGAUUAGAUACCCCCGUAGUCCCUGUCUCUUAUAC